UACGUAGGGUGCGAGCGUUAAUCGGAAUUACUGGGCGUAAAGCGUGCGCAGGCGGUUUUGUAAGCCAGAUGUGAAAUCCCUAGGCUCAACCUAGGAACUGCACUCGAAACUACCAUUCUUGAGUGUCGGAGAGGAAAGCGGAAUUCCUGGUGUAGAGGUGAAAUUCGUAGAUAUCAGGAGGAACACCAGUGGCGAAGGCGGCUUUCUGGACGAUAACUGACGCUGAGACGCGAAAGCGUGGGGAGCAAACAGG
rnacentral:rRNA from 1 species